GAUGAACGCUAGCUACAGGCUUAACACAUGCAAGUCGAGGGGCAGCAUGGUCUUAGCUUGCUAAGGCCGAUGGCGACCGGCGCACGGGUGAGUAACACGUAUCCAACCUGCCGUCUACUCUUGGACAGCCUUCUGAAAGGAAGAUUAAUACAAGAUGGCAUCAUGAGUCCGCAUGUUCACAUGAUUAAAGGUAUUCCGGUAGACGAUGGGGAUGCGUUCCAUUAGAUAGUAGGCGGGGUAACGGCCCACCUAGUCUUCGACGGAUAGGGGUUCUGAGAGGAAGGUCCCCCACAUUGGAACUGAGACACGGUCCAAACUCCUACGGGAGGCAGCAGUGAGGAAUAUUGGUCAAUGGGCGAGAGCCUGAACCAGCCAAGUAGCGUGAAGGAUGACUGCCCUAUGGGUUGUAAACUUCUUUUAUAAAGGAAUAAAGUCGGGUAUGCAUACCCGUUUGCAUGUACUUUAUGAAUGAGGAUCGGCUAACUCCGUGCCAGCAGCCGCGGUAAUACGGAGGAUCCGAGCGUUAUCCGGAUUUAUUGGGUUUAAAGGGAGCGUAGAUGGAUGUUUAAGUCAGUUGUGAAAGUUUGCGGCUCAACCGUAAAAUUGCAGUUGAUACUGGAUAUCUUGAGUGCAGUUGAGGCAGGCGGAAUUCGUGGUGUAGCGGUGAAAUGCUUAGAUAUCACGAAGAACUCCGAUUGCGAAGGCAGCCUGCUAAGCUGCAACUGACAUUGAGGCUCGAAAGUGUGGGUAUCAAACAGG
rnacentral:rRNA from 1 species